GUAGUAUUCCCUCCGUCCCAAAAUUCUUGUCUUACAUUUGUUUAGAUACAGAUGUAUCUAACACUAAAAUGUAACUAGAUACAUCCGUAUUUAGAAAAAUUUAAGACAAGAAUUUUGGGACGGAGGGAGUAAAAA
rnacentral:pre_miRNA from 1 species